AGCCGCCGGAGGUGCGGGCGGCCGCCGGCCCGCGGGUGAGGAGGCGCGGGGCAGGCGGCGCGGGCAGCGGGAAGGGAGCCGGCUCUCCGGCACCUCCGCAGACAGGCGGGGCCUGGGGGGGGCGAGCCGGGCGCGCCUCCCGCAGCCCGCCCCUCCCGAGGUGGUCUCACCUGGCGGGGUCGCGGGGGAAGCGGAAGAAGGCCAGGAGGAUGUUGUUGCUCAGCAGCCUGAUGGAUGAUCCCACACAGAAUCACUGAAUCAAUUAUGUUGGAAAAGACUUCUGCAAUCAUUGAGUCCAGCCUAUGACAGAUCAUAACCUUGUCAGCUAGACCAGAGCACAUCCAGGCUUUCCUUAAACAUCUCCAGGGAUGGUGACUCUACCACCUCCCUUGGCAGACCCUUCCAAUAUCCAAUAUCUAAUCACCCUCUCCAUGAAAAAAAUUCCUCCUAAUGUACAACCUAAACUUCCCUGGCACAGCUUAAGACCCUGUCUUCUCAUCCUGGGAGAAAAGGCUAAUCCCCACCUGGCUAAACCUCCUUUCAGGUAGUUAAAGAAGUAAUGGUAAAAGUCACAAGUUUUCAAGUAAUGAAAUAAUUUGGUGGAGGUUGUAUUGGUCAGAAGACAUUAUUAGGUAAAAAUGAAACAAAUCUUAGAAAAUAAACAGGAUACAAAAAACUGGGUGGUAGGAAGUGGGUAAAGGCUCCCUCACCAAAUAUAUCCUGUUCAAAAGUAGGUAGAGCACCUGUGAAAUUACAAAUGCUGAUGGCAAGUGAGGAUUGUUUCAGGUGUAAUACUGCUGUAGUUUUAAGAAUUCAGCUGAGAUACAUCCUUUAUGUAUCUUCACAUAAAAAGUCCUGUCCUGGGCUCUAGGAUUCUUUGUUUAGUAUGAGCAGGAUUAAAACUGUCUUUUACAUGAGGCAGUCCUGUCAUCAAGUGCUCCUGACCAAUCAUAAUAACUUCUGUUUAUUUGGCAUUAAUUGUUUGCCUGAAUUCUACCUUGGCUAUGUAGCUGAAGUAGUUUUGAGUAGUCAUUUAAGCUAAUGCUAAAGAUAACUGCUGCACCCCAUUGGUUUGACUUUACUUGGCAGUCACCAACAUUCAUGGACAGUGAAAUGUAUAAAUGAGUUACUCAGAUAAGUAAUCUUUUUUAAAAUAAACUCAGAUUUAGUCCAGAUAACUGCCAUCUGAUCUGUGGUGCAGAUCAUAUAAAUGUUCCUGCUGACACAAGGAAACACAGAAAAAAAGAGAGCAGGAUCAUUUUCAAUUGUAGUAAUAGUAUAAGAGCACAAUUGCAUAAUGUUAGAAGGAAUUUUAAAACACCGAAAAUCUGUUUCAGUAGGAAAAAAAUACUUCUUCUCACAUUACUAAUAAGAAAAUUGUAUGUUCUGCCCAGUAUUGAAAGACCUUUUCUCCUCCAAAUUGCCUCACGAAACAGAAGUACUGGCAUGCUAAACUCCUUUUUGGGGCUCUGAGCAAGCCAGACCAGAAUGGCAGUAUUAAAAUUAAAUUAGCCAUUGCACAUAUUUCUGAGCUGCCACUUCUGACCAAAGUCUCUGUUGAUACUGGUUGUAUCAUUUGAAGCACUAUACAAGUAUGUUAUGGCUGUUACCAUCUAGAUAUGUGUAUAUUUGCAUAGGAGCUAUCCUAAUGAAAUUAAAUUAAGGCAAGGACUUGUUUAUAAAGUGAUCUGAGGUCUGCUGGAUGGUGGUUUUUAUGUGGAGACUCAUUCUUAAGUGCUUUCUACGUAAUGGAAAGAAAAUAGACUUAAUAGUUUUCAAAACCCAGUAGUAAUACUAGAAGCACUUUCUUUAAAAAUAAAAAUUAGUUUACAUUACUACUUACUUGGAAAUUUCAAAAAUUAUCUUCUGUUGUAGAGUGCAGAAAUCCCUGAAACUGUUCUUCCUGCACAGUAGCCUCUGAAGUGUACAUAUAUAUUUUAAAUAAUCCUCUUGAUUAUUCAAGUCUUCUUCACAGUAUGUUUCCAAGUGUGUCUAUAUAACAUGUAACAGGGAUUAUAUACUGUAUUAGUGUUGAACAUAUAAUCUGUAUUCUGAUAAAUUAUUCUUAAAGGAA